UUCUAUUCUUGCUCCCCUUAGGACACCCAAUCUUCUUCUUUUUUUGGUGAAAUCAUCAGCUUACCAUUCUUAUGCUGCAAGACUAAGGAGACAUUCUCCUCAACCUGUAGCAUUGAGUCAAGAAAGCUAAAACCUUCUUCCCAAACCUUUCCAAAUUAUUCAUUGCUUUUCUUUUUUUCCCAACUGGACACUACAAAAAAUAAUUACAAUGGCUACCCCGUUUGGCGUCGGCAUCCUUUUGCCGUCGCAAAAAAUUGACUUUUCGCUUUGGCAAAAUCAUGCCGUCGUAAAACUUGCGACUGAGUUGCUAUGCCGUGACAAUGGGGUAGCCAAACUUUAAUAUUUAUCUUCGGCGAACGUUUGCGGUCGCAAACUUCCAAUACUUGGCGACUGAGUCUAAAAUGCUGUCGCACUAGUUAACAACUAUGAGCCAAAUUCUCUUAUUAAAUCUAUUUUCUCAUCAAAAAACCCUAGGCUAUUUCUCUCAAUCCCUGUUCUCUAUCGCAUCCCUCUUUCUCUCUCUCUCUCUGUGUUCUCGAUCUAAUUGAACAAAUUGAGCAUCGCAGAACUUGGUGGCCACUGUGCUGAUCUAGAUCCAGGGCUUACUCUUUUUGGGUAUUUCAUUUUGGCUUACUCUUCAGUCGUUCCUCUCCUCUCUCGUUGAAUCUACUUCGACUCAGAUGCUUCCAAUUCAAUGGCGGGGUCAUUCAUGCGAGUUUCUUUGUGUCCGAUCGAAAUUCGUACUAAAUUUCGAUUCAACUCAGAUGGUCUCUCUUCUCUGUUCUCGGAAAGCUAGCAUCUUGGGAACAGCAAGCUGACACAAGUUCUUAAAGACUCCCUUGGUGGUGAGAUUCCUUAUGAGAUCGGAAAGAUGGGCAGCGUAGAAGAGGUUCAGAAUUUUGAUGAGACAGCAAAACAACCUAUGUUAGAAGGUGAUAAUUCAGCAAAGUUUACUGACCCCAAAUUAUCAUUCAUGACAUAUCAGACAAGAGAUUAGUAGAAAGCUGGAAAAUGCAUACAAAAGUUAGGACAAAGUUGCACUUCAUGAAAGCUCCAACCAAGAUGAAUGAAAAAGUAAUAUGCUUUUCAAGUUUUUUAAUUCUUUUGUUCCAGGUAAAUUUCCCUCUCCAUUUUCUUCUCCUUUUCCAUCAAAUUGUGUUUACCAAUUGCACAAUUAUAUUUUCCUUUUCAUGUCAUCGCGAUUAUGAUUUCCACUGGUUUGAUUCAUUUUUUCUUUCGAAGCUAUAAUUUCUGUUCAAGGAGCUCCAAAGAUCUCCUCAGACCCGACUGCAAUGGCACCGAGUAUUUUCUCAGUGCAAUUAUCAAUUACCAUCUUUAUAGAUAUUGAGGAGCGGCACAAAUUGUUGCAGGGCUAGGUUUCCCAGGAGAAGAGAUUUGUAGAUGCAAAAUGAGUUCAACGUAAUGGUGGUCAGAAGUUGGAGCUGCACAAUUUUGUACGAUGAAGCUACAGGCUCUACAGUAAGAGACCUUACAUGUCAACUAUCAACAUAUGCAUUCCUCCAACCACUAGUCUGUAGCAUGCAUUUUAGCCCCGGAGAGGUAGUAACUGUUGCUCAGGAAGUUGUCAGUAUAAUGGCCGCGAAGGGAUAUGAUCUGGGACAAGAUGCAUUAAUCAAGGCCAAAAGCUUCUGAUGUCAAGGCCAAAAGCUUCUGAUGAGUCCUACCAAGUAUCAGCUACUACAGCAGCCAAGGUUUACAGUUACUUCAUAACACAAUAUUUUUCUCUUUACAGAGGGGAGAGUUAUCAAGCGGACAUCUCCAUCGAUCUGAGCAAGCACCAUAUGCCCAGAAUCUAGUUGAGAUAGAGAAAAAAAAGCUUUCCAAUCACCAAGUACUUCAGAGUUUGUAUUUCAAUAUAUAUUUUGCAUAUCACGUAUACAUGAGCUUUUUGUAUUUUAGAAUUUUGAACAUUGCUCAGAUGUAUGACCUUCAUUUCUUUAAAGCUUAAUUAUCUUGUAAACUUUCGUGUAACCUUCAUUUCUUUUGUAACAUUUAUGAAUGUAUCAUUUCCUGUUG